UUUUUUUUAAUGGAAAGGCGAAGGGUCUAGAACAACCAGAGCUGUCUUGGAGAGGAACCACGCUGGUACUGAGGGACGGGCUCCAGGGAACAGAACAGUCUAGAAACAGACCUGCACACAGGUGGCCAGGUCCCGCACCUGUAGGGAAGAGUCAGAGGAGGAAGGAUGGGUGUGGGGUAAUAGGGGAGGGCUCAGCGAGUUCAUCCAAAUGCAAAAACCAAGCUUCCAUUCACAUCUUGCACCAGAAACAAGGUGUGGCCCCAAAUGGAUCCCAGACCCAAGUGUGAAGCACACAUCAUAAAACUUGCAGCAGGAAACCUCGGAAAAGAUCUUUGCAACCUUGGGUUAUGCAAAGAUUUCUUAGAUAGGAUAUCAAAAGGAUGAUUCAUCAUAGAAAAAAUUGAUAACUUAAACUUCAUCAAUUUCUUUUCUUUUUUUUUAAAUCUGUUCUUUGAAAGACACUUAAGAGAAUGAAAAGACAGAUGGGGAAAAAGUAUUUAUAAAACACAUGGCUGAGGAAGAACCUGUGUCCAGAAUAUGUAAAUAAUAAUGGUUUGGAUGUAAGGUGUCCCCCAAAAGCUAGCAUGUGAGACAAUGCAAGGUUUGGGGGAGCCCUGGGGGCAGUGGCGAACACCUGUAAUCCCAGAAGCUCGGGAGGCUGAGGCAGGAGGAUUGCCAGUUCAAAGCCAGCCUCAGCAAAAGCAAGGAGCUAAGCAACUCAGUGAGACCCUGUCUCUAAGUAAAAUGCAAAAUAAGGCUGAGGAUGUGGCUCAGUGGUCAAGUGCCCCUGAGUUCAAUCCCUGGUUACCUGCCACCCCUUCAAAAAAAAAAGAAGGUUUGGAGGAGAAAUGAUUAGGUUAUAGCCUUAACCUGACCAGCGAAUUAUCAGGGAACUGAUCCCUGAUGGGAUUAACUGAGUGGUGACUGGAGGCAGGUGGGGUAUGGCUGGAGGAAGUGGUUCACUGGGGGCGUGGCUUUGGGGGUCUAUAUUUUUAAUCUGGCGAGUGGAGUCUCACUCUGCUUUCUGAUCACCACGUGAGCUGCUUCCCUCUGCCACACUCUUCUGCCAUGAUGUUCUGCCUCCUCUCGAGCCCCAAGGAAUGGAGCCGGCCUUCUAUGGACGAAGGCUUCUGAAACCGUGAGCCCUCAAAUAAGGCUUUCCCCCUCCACAGUUGUCUGUCGGGUCCUUUUAGUCACAGCCGUGAAAGAGCUGACUACAACAUCUCUCCCAAACAACCCAGGGUAAAAAAUGGUCAAAAGAGGUGAACGGAAAUGUCACCCCCAAAAGAUGCAGAUGGACGAUCAGCCCAGGGAGAGAUUUGCAAAAUCUUGGCUUUUAGUGAAACCGUGCUGAGGCCUCGCCCGCCUGCUGGGUGGGACACCCAGCUGAAGCCCAGCAAUGGCAGGGAGGGGGCGUUUCUGGGGCCACGGGACGCCUGUACCUGGUGGGGAAACGCAGGGCGGCCGGGGAACUCGGGAGGUGUUUGACGUCCUUGUAGCAUGGCUCCCUUGUGACCUGGUGUCUCCCUAUGAGAAAUGGAAAUACGUGUUCCCACAAGGACUGCGUGGAGACAUGUGAUGGCCGAUUCCUGACCUCCCAAAUGGAAGGAGGUGAAGGUCCCGGAGUUGGUGUCCCAAGUGUGGAUCUGAAGUCGGGCCCAUGUGUGGUCCCCAGCCUGCGGCGCCACUGGGAGGCAGUGGAACCCUCAGUGGGUGGGGCCUUGUGGAAGGAUCAGAGGUCACUGAGAUGUGCCUUGAAGGAGAUAUUGGGACCCCAGCCUCUUUGUGUCUCCUUCCCGGUCUCAUGAGGGGAACAGCCAUCUUCUGUCACAUGCUCCGGCCGUGAUGGACUGUGCUUCCACAGGCUCAAAGCAACAAGGCCAAUUAUCAUGGACUCAGACCCCUGGAAUUGGGAGCUAACAUAAACCUUUCCUCCUUUUAAGUUGAUUGCCUCUGGUAUUUUGUCACAGGGACAGAGAGCUGACUGAGGCAACUGGUGAGCGGAUGAGUGAAUUGUGGGAUAUCCAGAGAGAUGAGGGGAAAUACUCAGCAGCACACAGGAAGGAGCAGGGGCCUGCAGAGAGCAGGGCUGGAUCUCCAGGUGCUUCUGUGGAAUGCAGUGGAUGAGCCUAUCUAUGUGAUGUUCCAGAAAAGGCCAAACCUUAGGGACAGGACUGAGUCAGUGGCUGCCAGGGGUUGGAGCAGGUUUGGUGCUGGCUACAAAGCAGCAUGGGGGACAUGGGGGUGACGAUGCCAACCACCUCUGGACUUCAGUGCUGG
rnacentral:lncRNA from 1 species